UGGAUCAAUUAAGGCAAUGAAACGAGUAUUAUGGAUAGAAAAUGUACCCGUGAUGAUAUCGGGAACAGAAACUUUCUCUCGAGCACGUAUUGCAUAAGUUCUUGUGGCUCGAGCCUCUGAUUUUGAAGUAGCAUCCUUAGCAACAGGUCGACUACCACUUGCACUUCCAGGAUGUCUCAAAGGUCUACCUCGAGAAAUAAGAGCAUUCGGCUGCGGAGUUAAUUCAAUCUCUUUAUUAGCUCGCUCCAGGCAGUCUAUGAGAAAAUGGUCAAGAGACCCACAUCUGAAACACGUACCACUCUUC
rnacentral:lncRNA from 1 species